AGUGAACGCUGGCGGUAGGCCUAACACAUGCAAGUCGAACGGCAGCACAGUAAGAGCUUGCUCUUACGGGUGGCGAGUGGCGGACGGGUGAGGAAUACAUCGGAAUCUACUUUUUCGUGGGGGAUAACGUAGGGAAACUUACGCUAAUACCGCAUACGACCUACGGGUGAAAGCAGGGGAUCUUCGGACCUUGCGCGAUUGAAUGAGCCGAUGUCGGAUUAGCUAGUUGGCGGGGUAAAGGCCCACCAAGGCGACGAUCCGUAGCUGGUCUGAGAGGAUGAUCAGCCACACUGGAACUGAGACACGGUCCAGACUCCUACGGGAGGAAGCAGUGGGGAAUAUUGGACAAUGGGCGCAAGCCUGAUCCAGCCAUACCGAGUGGGUGAAGAAGGCCUUCGGGUUGUAAAGCCCUUUUGUUGGGAAAGAAAAGCAGCAGGUUAAUACCCCGCUGUUCUGACGGUACCCAAAGAAUAAGCACCGGCUAACUUCGUG
rnacentral:rRNA from 1 species